rnacentral:misc_RNA from 1 species
AAGGCAAUCCAUUCCUUCUAAGCGCGUGUUCAGAAGGAUUGAGAAGGGAUGGUGACGCGGGUGCAGCCGCCACCACGGGGGUCAACGCUGUACCACAUGCUUGAGGACAGCCAGGCGGCCAUCUUCUGCUGUUGCUGUGAGGUGCCCUCGCCCGGCUGUGCUCGGCGCACUGCCUCUUCCUCUCCUCCGCUCACACCCCCUGACGACCCCAACAGCCUGGUGUCGCCAGCUUCACUGCCUUCAUCCUCUUCGUCCUCGUCGCUGACAGUGCUGCCCCGCUGCCAUCCGAUACAUCACCUGAAGAAACCGGUGGUCACCAGUCACGACCAACGAAGAGGUCCCUAUCUGACAUGGGUGCAGCUCAGCAGCAGCAGCACAAGGAGGGUCCAGGUGAUGCAGAACGCGACAGACUGUACUCGCCCUUCCGGCGUAGCCUGUUUCCAGGUGUCCCGCCAACCCUUCAGUUCUACUCUGAUGGACACCAAGUGCUUCCCCUGCCUGCGUGCAUCCGCAAGCAGCUACGGUGGAAAGUGACCAGCAUCACGCCUCUACUCAUCCGCCAGACAGUUGUCCGGUCAGGCUUCCGACUCACCCGAGGUCCCCGCGAGCGAAGGCACAACCUCAGAGUUCCAAGACCUAUGAAGUAUGCUGCUAGACAAAAUGGUCCUUACUGGAAUGGAACUUGGGGCAAACACAUCAAGUGCUUCACCUUUGCAGAGAUCAAGGGCUUUCAGAAGGUGAACCACUUUCCAGGCAGCUUUCACCUAGGGCGCAAGGACAAGCUGUGGCAAAAUGUGGUGCGGCUGGGGCGUAUCCGUGGUGAAAAGGGACGCCCCUCGCUGCCAGACACGUUCCUCCUGCCCCAGGAGUUGCCCCUGCUGAGGGACGCCUGGAGUGCUGAGACUCCCGGGGAUCACUGCUGGAUCAUCAAGCCGCCUGCAUCAGCAAGAGGUGCAGGUGUGCACGUGGUCCACCGCUGGGACCAGAUACCCAAGAAGCAGCCGCUGGUGGUCCAGAGGUAUGUGCGGACGCCGUACCUCAUCAAUGGGACCAAGUUUGACCUUCGCCUGUAUGCGCUGGUGACCAGCUUUGACCCCCUAAAGAUAUACCUGUUCCCCGACGGCUUGGUCCGCUUUGCUUCCAUGAAGUACUCUCUGGAGUGUGAGGACUUGAGCGAUCGGUACAUGCACCUGACCAACUACAGCAUCAACAAAAAGAGUGCUACGUACACGGCCGGUGGAAGCGGGGACUGCGAGGGUCACAAGUGGUCCAUCAAGGCCUUGCAAGGCUACCUGGAAGGGCUAGGUGUGGACUUUCCCUGCCUCUGGGAACAGAUGGUCGACAUUGUAGUCAAGACGUUGGCUUGUGCGGAGGGCCCCAUGAACCGGCUAAUCCAGAGGCACACGUCUAGUCGCUACACAUGCUACGAGCUGUUCGGCUUUGACAUCUUGCUUGACGAGCAGCUAAAGCCGUGGCUCCUGGAGGUCAACAUCUCUCCCAGCUUACGAUCUGCAACACCAGUCGACUACACAGUCAAGAGUGAGGUGGUGAAGGACAUGCUAAACCUGGCAGGCUUUCAAUUGCCUCAGCAGCUCAAGGACGACCUUGACGAGAGGCUACUAGAAUGCUACGGUCUGGAAGAACAAGAUGAUCUCUCUUUGAACCCUCUGCUCCACACAUACUCCCUCUCCCCAGCUGAGCACCUCAAACACCGGCACUAUGAGACAAGCCUAAUGGAUGUGGAAGAAGAGACCUCUGGCCUGCUGGAAAGCCUGACGCCCGACGAUGUACGGGUGUUGGUGCAGAGCGAAGAUGAGCUCUCGCGCUGCGGCUCCUUCAAGCGGGUGUUUCCGGGUGGUCGCCACGGAGAUGUGACCCUGCUUGCCCACCGCCGCUACUACAACCUGCUACUGGCCGCUUGGGAGAGGCGAUUUGGCCACCAGAGGCACAAAGGUGUGGAGUGGCUGCAACGACUCUGUGCCAAGGGCUUCCACUUAAUGUCACCAGACACGGAACGGGUUCCCACUGCCGAAAGCCAGUCAUCUCCCGUUUCUGAGAAAAGGAAGUGGCACUGGCGUAAUUUUACACUAUACGCUUCUCGCACGAGAAGGUAACAGUGGCUUUGGCCUGUGGCGAGAGUCCACAAGACGCAAAUUCUGGAUGCGGCAGCCACCGUCGCAAGGUGACGCGCAACGUGAGCAUUCUUUCGCUGCAAAAGGAGCGCCAACAUCGCGGUUGAGCACGGCGCCCUUCUUCAACAGGGGCAGCUGCCAUUUGUGGGAGCCACAGAACCAGUCUGGCUCAUCUCCAACGUUAGGUCUUGUACAGGCUCGUUGCUCUGGCACGGGAGAGGAGAGAAGCCUCCGCGUUGUGUUGUUUUAACUACUCCCAUGGGAGUCCUUCCUUACUUCCUGCUGUAUUUAUGCAUUCUGCCAGCCCUGCCCUUGGAAAUAAAGCACUGUAUUCGAGUUCCUUGA